AACGAACGCUGGCGGCGCGCUUAACACAUGCAAGUCGAACGAGAAGGCGUAGCAAUACGCUUGUACAGUGGCGAACGGGUGAGUAAUACGUGGGCGACCUACCCUCGAGUGGGGAAUAACCCGCCGAAAGGCGGGCUAAUGCCGCGUACGCUUCCAUCUUUAUGGAGGUGGAAGGAAAGCCGUGCCGUGGGCACGGCGCUCAAGGAUGGGCUCACGUCCUAUCUAGCUUGUUGGAGGGUAACGGCCUACCAAGGCUCCGACGGGUAGCUGGUCUGAGAGGACGAUCAGCCACACUGGCACUGCGACACGGGCCAGACUCCUACGGGAGGCAGCAGUGAGGAAUAUUGCGCAAAUGGGC
rnacentral:rRNA from 1 species